UACGUAGGGGCCUAGCGUUGUCCGGAUUUAUUGGGCGUAAAGAGCGUGUAGGCGGCCAUACAGGUCAGCUGUGAAAACUCGAGGCUCAACCUCGAGACGUCGGUUGAAACCGUAUGGCUAGAGUCCGGAAGAGGAGAGUGGAAUUCCCGGUGUAGCGGUGAAAUGCGCAGAUAUCGGGAAGAACACCCGUGGCGAAGGCGGCUCUCUGGGACGGUACUGACGCUGAGACGCGAAAGCGUGGGGAGCGAACAGG
rnacentral:rRNA from 1 species